AUCUUGUUAGCAUACCUAUUCCGUCAUAAUAUGAAGUGAAGAUAUUCAUGGUGUGGAAGUUGUUACUUUAAUUACAUAGUGCAUAUGAAAUUGCUCCUUUACAUCACAUUUAAAAUCGACGUAAUGCUACUAUGCAAAAUAGUGAGAGAUGUGAACCCUAGGGAGAGCUACAGAAAUACUUUCGUUGAGAGACAAGUUAUGAUAGUGAUUAGAAUCGCAUAUUCUAGACUUUUACUU